GUAGGUGGCAAGCGUUGUCCGGAAUUAUUGGGCGUAAAGCGCGCGCAGGCGGGGUUCGUUUAAGUCUGAUGUGAAAGCCCACGGGCUCAACCGUGGAGGGUCAUUGGAAACUGGAGAACUUGAGUACAGAAGAGGAAAGCGGAAUUCCACGUGUAGCGGUGAAAUGCGUAGAGAUGUGGAGGAACACCAGUGGCGAAGGCGGCUUUCUGGUCUGUAACUGACGCUGAGGCGCGAAAGCGUGGGGAGCAAACAGGAUUAGAUACCCUGGUAGUCCACGCCGUAAACGAUGAGUGCUAAGUGUUAGGGGGUUUCCGCCCCUUAGUGCUGCAGCUAACGCAUUAAGCACUCCGCCUGGGGAGUACGGCCGCAAGGCUG
rnacentral:rRNA from 1 species